rnacentral:misc_RNA from 1 species
GAAAUGGCAGAGUUGCCUCUUUCAUUUUGCCUUCAUCUACAGUUGCAUACAUAUUUUGCAGCAAAUCACCCAAAUGUUUAAAUUAUAGCAGUAGAGAACUUGUAUUUGUGAUUUCUCCAUACCCUUUUUGUUUUACAUUAGAAAAAAAAAAUGCAUCAGAUUUUGACCAAUAUUUUCUUGCUGAUCAAGGUUUUGUCUAUAUAAAAUUAAAGAGGGUCUUUUUUUUGAAGUGUAAAAGUAAUACUGUUGACUCCUAAUAUCCUGGAAAAUUUCUUAUGGGGUUUCAUCUUCUUCUUUAAAUUCCUAAAGUGUCAUUCUUAAACAUUGCAUACCAUCUAUAGUCCAAACAGUAAUUGCCUUAAUAAAAAAUUUCAACAGUAUCAGCUUCGGUAAGGGGUACUCUGAAAAUGGCAUUGGUAAGGGCUGCAAGGAGUAGCUUUAGGCGUUCUGGAGGUGCAAUCGGAAACUAUGCAAGUGAGAGAAAUAUAUUCUGUGAAGGCAUAUCACCAUUUAGACAUCCUGCGCCAGUUUUUGAAAAAGCUGUAACAGGUUUCAAUUCAUCAUACAUUCCAAGUACCCAGAUGAUAAAUCAAUUAAGUUUCGGGAACAGAGGAAUGAAGUUUACCCCUCAAUAUCAGUUUCCACAUGCAGCAGCUGAGACGGUUGGGGGUGCUGAUUCAAAGAAUGAAAGAUCCAGUUAUCCAGGCCUUGAAGCAACAAAACAGGGCGAAAAACCUAGAGUAGUUGUUCUUGGAUCUGGUUGGGCCGCUUGCAGAUUCCUCAAAGGAAUAGACACUAGUAUGUAUGAUGUUGUUUGUAUAGCACCAAGAAACCAUAUGGUCUUUACACCAUUGCUUGCAUCUACUUGUGUUGGAACAUUGGAAUUCCGAUCAGUUGCUGAACCAGUCACCCAGAUACAGAAAGCACUGGCAAAGGAUCCAAAUUCAUAUUUCUUCCUAGCAUCCUGCACUGGUGUUGAUGCUGAUAAACAUGAAGUAUACUGUGAAACGGUUGGCGAUCGUGGAGUCUCUCAUGAGCAUUACAGAUUUAAGGUUGCAUAUGACAAGCUUGUCAUUGCUUCUGGAGCUGAACCUUUGACCUUUGGCAUAAAGGGAGUGGAGGAACAUGCCUUCUUUCUCCGUGAAGUACAGAAUGCCCAAGAAAUCAGGAAGAAGCUUCUUAUGAACUUGAUGGUCUCAGAAACUCCAGGCAUCUCGGAAGAAGAGAAAGAGCGCUUGUUGCACUGUGUUGUGAUUGGAGGUGGACCUACAGGGGUUGAAUUCAGCGGGGAGCUAAGUGAUUUUAUUAUGAGAGAUGUACGCGAACGUUAUGCUCAUGUCAAAAACUACAUUCAUGUGACCCUCAUUGAGGCUAAUGAGAUUUUGUCUUCAUUUGAUGUUGGGUUGCGGGAGUAUGCGACAAAGCAUUUGACCAAGGUUGGUGUCCGCCUUGUUCAUGGUGUUGUAAAAGAAGUACAUCCAGAUAAAAUAGUUCUCAGUGAUGGAAGUGAUGUUCCAUAUGGCCUUCUCGUUUGGUCUACUGGAGUUGGUCCUUCCAAUUUUGUUAAAUCACUAAAUGUUCCCAAGUCUCCUGGUGGAAGGAUUGGAAUUGAUGAAUGGUUGCGAGUUCCUUCCGUAGAAGAUGUGUUUGCUAUAGGAGAUUGUGCUGGUUUUCUUGAACAGACUGGAAAGCCGGUGCUUCCGGCUCUUGCUCAGGUUGCUGAAAGGCAAGGGAAGUAUCUUGUUAAAUUGUUCACCGACAUUGGGAAACAGAAUGGAGGCAAAGCUCUCUCAGCCAAAGACAUCACUCUAGGAGAUCCAUUUGUUUACAAGCAUCUUGGAAGCAUGGCAACUGUGGGGCGUUACAAGGCUCUUGUUGAUCUCCGUCAAGCUAAGGGUGAGAAGGGUGUCUCAUUAGCAGGCUUCACGAGCUGGCUUAUUUGGCGGUCCGCGUAUCUGACUCGAGUUAUCAGCUGGAGGAACAGGUUUUACGUGGCUAUGAACUGGGGAACAACGUUAAUCUUUGGCAGAGACAAUACUAAGAUAGGAUAAACUACCACUUCUAGUAGGAUUUUCAUGUUCUUGAUCCAUUUUUUGAACACUUCUAAUAACCUACCUUGUAGUGUUAUCAAUAAUGUUAAUAUCUUUGAGGAUUGAAAAAGAAAAGGGGGAAAAAGUGCUUUGUCAAAAUGGAAUUAUGAGGGUUGGGGCAAGGGAUCUUUG